GAUGGGGAGCUCCGUGGGACUGUGUCUGGGGAAAGCACCAACUUCCUCUCAGCUGUUCCUGUUUUUUGCUCUGGGGACUGACAUUCACCCUGGGGCAGAGCUGGAAGUCAUAGUAGAAGAAACACUCUCAGUGAGAGAUUGUUUAAAGAUAAUGCUGGAGAAGUCAGGUCAGCAAGGAGAGAUGUGGCACUUAAGGAAAAUGGAUUGGUGCUAUGAAGCUGGUGAGCCUUUAUGUGAAGAAGAUGCAACAUUGAAAGAGCUUAUGAUAUGUUCUGGGGACACUUUGCUGUUAACUGAAGGAAAACUGCCUUCUCCGGGGCACUUGAAGAUGCCCAUCUGGUGGUACCAGCCUGAAAGGCUGUCAGGACACCGUGAGAGCUGGGACCACUUAAACUGUGCCUUUUCUCAAGGUAGCAGCUGGGGAGCUGCUCCCACCCAAGGUGCUCCUGGCCCUGAGCCUGCAGAAGUCUCUCUCCUCUACUUGGGAGAUAUGGAGAUCUCAGAAGAGGCCACUUUGGCAGAACUGAAGUCUAAGUCUGUCCUGAUAUGGCAUGUGUUAUAUGCCAUGGUCAGGGGCCUUGGCCUUGCCUUCUGUGUUGAAGCUCGCCGUCCAGUCCACAAGCCUGCUUAGAGUCUGGACAGUGGAGAGCAAGCGCCCCAGCAGGCUCUUGCGCACUGGUUGGCGGCAGCUCAAGGAGUACAGACUGGGCCGGAGAACUGAGCUCUGCUUAGAGCUCCUUCAAAAGGAGGAGGACUUGGGCCCCCGGGAUGUACUGCUGAGGACACAGCUACGCAUCCCUGGUGAGAGAGCCUACUCCCUGGCCAAAGACCUAGUAUGGGACACCACCAGAGGAUGGACUGCUGGCUCCUUGAGGCAGAGAGUGGCUGACUUCUAUUCUCUUCCUGUGGAGAAAAUUGAAAUUGCCAAAU
rnacentral:lncRNA from 1 species